AAACCAUUGGAAACGAUGGCUAAUACCGCAUAAUAGCUUCGGCUCAAAGAGGGGGACCUUCGGGCCUCUCGCGUCAGGAUAUGCCCAGGUGGGAUUAGCUAGUUGGUGAGGUAAAGGCUCACCAAGGCGACGAUCCCUAGCUGGUCUGAGAGGAUGAUCAGCCACACUGGAACUGAGACACGGUCCAGACUCCUACGGGAGGCAGCAGUGGGGAAUAUUGCACAAUGGGCGCAAGCCUGAUGCAGCCAUGCCGCGUGUAUGAAGAAGGCCUUCGGGUUGUAAAGUACUUUCAGUCGUGAGGAAGGUGAUGUAGUUAAUAACUGCAUCAUUUGACGUUAGCGACAGAAGAAGCACCGGCUAACUCCGUGCCAGCAGCCGCGGUAAUACGGAGGGUGCGAGCGUUAAUCGGAAUUACUGGGCGUAAAGCGCAUGCAGGUGGAUGAUUAAGUCAGAUGUGAAAGCCCGGGGCUCAACCUCGGAAUAGCAUUUGAAACUGGUCAUCUAGAGUACUGUAGAGGGGGGUAGAAUUUCAGGUGUAGCGGUGAAAUGCGUAGAGAUCUGAAGGAAUACCGGUGGCGAAGGCGGCCCCCUGGACAGAUACUGACACUCAGAUGCGAAAGCGUGGGGGAGCAAACAGGAUUAGAUACCCUGGGUAGUCCACGCCGUAAACGAUGUCUACUUGGAGGUUGUGGCCUUGAGCCGUGGCUUUCGGAGCUAACGCGUUAAGUAGACCGCCUGGGGAGUACGGUCGCAAGAUUAAAACUCAAAUGAAUUGACGGGGGCCCGCACAAGCGGUGGAGCAUGUGGUUUAAUUCGAUGCAACGCGAAGAACCUUACCUACUCUUGACAUCUACAGAAUCCUGCGGAGACGCGGGAGUGCCUUCGGGAACUGUAAGACAGGUGCUGCAUGGCUGUCGUCAGCUCGUGUUGUGAAAUGUUGGGUUAAGUCCCGCAACGAGCGCAACCCUUAUCCUUGUUUGCCAGCGAGUCAUGUCGGGAACUCCAGGGAGACUGCCGGUGAUAAACCGGAGGAAGGUGGGGACGACGUCAAGUCAUCAUGGCCCUUACGAGUAGGGCUACACACGUGCUACAAUGGCGCAUACAGAGGGUUGCCAACUUGCGAAAGUGAGCGAAUCCCAAAAAGUGCGUCGUAGUCCGGAUUGGAGUCUGCAACUCGACUCCAUGAAGUCGGAAUCGCUAGUAAUCGUGAAUCAGAAUGUCACGGUGAAUACGUUCCCGGGCCUUGUACACACCGCCCGUCACACCAUGGGAGUGGGCUGCAAAAGAAGCAGGUAGUUUAACCUUCGGGAGGACGCU
rnacentral:rRNA from 1 species